rnacentral:lncRNA from 1 species
GCCAUGCCAUUGGCCCAUUGCCAACCCACCCAUGUGCGCGCACAUCCUUCAUUAUUUCCAAUUCAACUAAAAUAAUUAACACAACUAAAAACCAACCCCAACACAAUCAGCCUCAGCCAUCCUGGUGAUCGAUCCUUCCUUCGUUUUCACCCAUCCCCCAGCCUCAGCCUCAGCCUCAGCCAUGAUUUUGUCCACGACGUUCUUUCUGUCUUUCUUGGCAUCUCUGUGGGUCCUCCUGUUCUACAACGACCACAUCACAGUCCUCUUACUCCCAGUUCUGGGAGCGUUGAUGGUACUAGCAUUGGUUGUGAUCACGGCACGGGCGACCAUGAUGGCGUGGAUCACAGUGCUUGUGCUGCUAACAUUUGCCGGCAAUCGUCGUCGGGUUUUGGUUCGACGAGGGAAGCUCAUCACCGCUGAUGUCGCAAUCUACUUGUUCCAGGUGAUCAUGAAAGAGAGAGGCCGCCUUGCCGUUGCUUGUGCAACGAUUCUCAGUCUCAUGGCCAUGCUUGGCUUCAAAAUUUGAAGACUACAACGCAUGGGAUUUUCUUUUUUAUGUUUUUUAUGAAUCAUUUUUACAUACAUGUCAGAUUAUCUUUUUUCUCUAUGCCUUUUACUGUGCCAAGCUUCAGAUAGCUUCAAAAUGAUAAUGCUUCUCUCAUUGUCCAUAAGAGCAACUCCUCCUUACCUACUAAUAAUGCAACCACAAACUCACACUUGUUCUUUAUUAUUAUUAUUAUUUUCAAAGGUGUAUUUAUUUUUCAUUUUAAUUAAUCAUAGAAAGAGAGACAUGUGUCAGAUUGUGGUUGAGCCACGUUAAUAGGUAAGGAGAAAUUCCUUCUUAUGGGCAAGG